AUUGAACGCUGGCGGCAGGCCUAACACAUGCAAGUCGAGCGAGCGGCGGACGGGUGAGUAAUGUCUGGGAAAAUGCCUGAUGGGGGGGGAUAACUACUGGAAACGGUAGCUAAUACCGCAUACCAUCAGAUGUGCCCAGAUGGUGUUAGCUAGUAGGUGGGGUAAUGGCUCACCUAGGCGACGAGCCCUAGCUGGUCUGAGAGGAUGACCAGCCACAAUGGAACUGAGACACGAUCCAGAGUCCUACGGUCGGCAGCAGUGGGGAAUAUUGCACAAUGGGCGCAAGCCUGAUGCAGCCAUGCCGCGUGUGUGAAGAAGGCCUUCGGGUUGUAAAGUACUUUCAGCGGGGAGGCGUUACCCGCAGAAGAAGCACCGGCUAACUCCGUGCCAGCAGCCGCGGUAAUUC
rnacentral:rRNA from 1 species